rnacentral:rRNA from 1 species
UACGAAGGGGGCUAGCGUUGUUCGGAGUUACUGGGCGUAAAGCGUGCGUAGGCGGUUUCGCAAGUCCGCUGUGAAAGCCCCGGGCUUAACCUGGGAAUGGCAGUGGAAACUAUGGGACUUGAAUCUGGCAGAGGGGGGUGGAAUGCCACGUGUAGCAGUGAAAUGCGUAGAGAUGUGGCGGAACACCGAUGGCGAAGGCAGCCCCCUGGGCCAAGAUUGACGCUCAGGCACGAAAGCGUGGGGAGCAAACAGG